UCGUCUUUAAAUAAAAAAGAAAAUACUCUAGUAACUAACUGUCAUUGAUUCUCCAAUUUAAAAGAUGGAUGUCAGAAAUUACAAGUUUUUUUGUUUUCACCUUUUAAAUACAUCUUCACAAAUUGAAAGAAAUGUGGGCGACUGAUUAUUCUUAUUCGAAGUUAAACAAUUUGUUAUUAGUGUUAUAUAAAAAAUUUAUUAAUUAGAUUAUAAUCUCUUACCAAAAAUAGUGUUUAAAAUGGUCUUUUCAUUUGCACCAGUUAGGUUCCCCAUCCUGAAAAGUUCCACUUGUUUUUUGUUUUUUUUGGCUUAUAUAAAGCUUGUAUAUCUUUGGGAUAAAUGUAGAUCCCACUACCAGACAUCAGCUCCAUCAUCUAGAAUAAGAAAAAGAAGCCAAGAUAAAAGAAAAUCACAAUCCAUUUAUUUCAAAGCUUUAUUAUUAUUAUUAAAAAUUUUAAAAAAAAAGACUCAAAAACUUUUUUAACCUCCAGUUAACAUUUUUUUUAUUACUCAUUCCGAAAUUUUCUUAUCUAAUUUAUAGCUUUUUUAACUUCAUGUGAAUAAAAAAGAAUUUUCUCCCUACUUUCCUACUCGACCCUUUUUAUCCCUAGUCUCCCGGGAGAGGCCUAGAGGGCAAGCAAAUAUUUUCUUAAAGAUAUAAAUAUUUUUUUCAGUAUUAGGGAAGGGAAAUUCUAUACUAUUAUAAACACAUUUUCUUAUUUCUAAAUCAUGUAAAUUUUCAUAAUCGUACUUUUAUUAUUUAAAAAUGUUUGUCCACAUAAGAAUAUGUAUUUUGUCAACAAAAUGGAGGGAAUCAAGGGCUAAUAUGUAGGACUGUAUAGUCCAACUGCAGUUUUAAUUAUCCUCAAGUUAAAAUAAACUUAAUACAUUCUGACAAAAUUUGUGUAAAUAUUGUAAACAGAAACUUGCUUGAAAAGGCCUACCUAAGAUCUUGGCGGGAUGCACGCCAGAAAAGCCAUGGCAGCUGGCUUUCACCAAAUCCCCAACUUUAUACUGGCAAAACUCCUUUCUUGGAUCUUUGAUGCGUGAUAUGGUUAUGAUGCUGACCUUUUCUUCCUCUAUCCACUCCAUAAGGGCAUACAUGGUUCGUUGAACAAAGUAAUAAUAGAACCUUUCAACUUUCACCUUCUUGAACCGACGCUAUCUUGUUUGAAAAUGGAGAGCGGAGCCGAUUUGACCAAUCAGCGAUUAGAGGAAAUACCGGAAUCAAGGAAUUCAAAACCUUUAUGACUUCAAAUGAUUAAAAAUCGUAAAGUAUAUACGUGAGAUUUUUUUUAGUUAUUCAUCAGUUUUGCUGAAAUUAAUCAGGAACAAUCAAACGUAUUUUUAUUUUUACGUAAAUACCCGAUUCGCACACUUCCGGUUAUUCCGGAUGUAAACGAAGAAGGCGCCAUUUUAAAAACAAAGAUUGAAAUAAAAGCGAAACACUCGUCACUGCUCCGAAGCUAUGUACCCUCACAAACGUGGUAGCUACCAGGUUUUCCAUGCCGAUAAGUCUAAUCCAACACUCAAAGUAUCCCUUUGGCGAAUGCAACAAGGAAAAGACAACAUUUCAUCAGAAAAUUUCGACAAUCGAAGUGUGGCGUGUGAAACUGCUGGCCCUGUCGCCAUUAUGAUUAUCGAUGCCUUUCAUGAGAAAUCAUUUAACCAGUUGCUUCAAGAUGUUGCUGAAGAACCUGCUUUCUUACCAUAUCAUAUCUAUGUUGACGGAGAUUCAGAAUGAGACAAAGAGUUUGAUAUAUGAUCCUACACCUGACAGAAAAAGUUGAGGAUCUUGGACCACUUUGGUGCUCAUCUUGUUUCUAUUUUGAGGAUUGUAAUGGAUAAUUGAGAUGCCUUUUCCAUGGCAUCCAACAUAUUGAAACCCAAAUAGCAUUUGCGGUUUGUGUUCAUCAGCAGCUACUGACAUUGUCCCAAGCUCUGAAGUUUGACAGCAGUGAAAGGGAAUAGACAGGGUUGCUGUUAUUGGAGCCUAUGUAAAAGACCUUUGAAAUCUGAGGAACAGGCAGUCCUUUUGACCUUAGCUGGAGAGUAGGUCCGUGUGGUUUUCUUCAAAAGACUACUUGUGGACGAACAGGUUGAGACAACAAAAUAAUUCGAUUCAAGGAAACGUUCAUUGGGAGAUUAGAAACUUUUGUUAAAGUAACAGGACAUGACUACAAAUGAAAAACUUUGUUUUGUUUUCACAGUUCCUAACAGGAUUGAACAGGAAUAUAACAUGAACAUGUUCAAUGUCCAGAACAGAGACAUCAUUUAACAGUCAUACCUUGUUUUGUGUCACAUUUACCAAUGAGAUUUGAAUAUAGAAAUAUUUUUUGAUACUUUUUUGGAAAAGAUGUUUUUAUAUAUAUGCCUUAAUUUGAUUUUGAUAGACUAUGCAUACCUAAAUUGAUGAAUAGUGUCUCUUUUAACAUGGAACAGAAGUCCAUAUGGACUUAUUUUUAAUAAAUACUGUGACAUAUCUCA